AGAUAAAUGAAGAGGAAGCAAGAAAGAAGCAGGCGUAGGGUGCCCAGGGAGCUGCUCUGGAAGGAAGUGAUGCCUGGAAGCUCUAGCUGUGAUGCCAGAUACUGCUCAGGAUGUGGGGAAGAAGCAAGGAGGAAAGGGAGGCU